GGGAAGCGGUAUCGAAAGCUUGCUUUCGGUAGCCGGCGACCGGCGCACGGGUGAGUAACGCGUAUCGAACCUGCCUCAUACUCGGGAAUAGCCUUGCGAAAGUAAGAUUAAUGCCCGGUGUUUUCAGAGUCCCGCAUGAGGCUUUGAACAAAGAUUUAUCGGUAUGAGAUGGCGAUGCGUCCCAUUAGCUUGUUGGCGGGGUAACGGCCCACCAAGGCAUCGAUGGGUAGGGGUUCUGAGAGGAAGGUCCCCCACAUUGGAACUGAGACACGGUCCAAACUCCUACGGGAGGCAGCAGUGAGGAAUAUUGGUCAAUGGGCGGAAGCCUGAACCAGCCAAGUAGCGUGCAGGAAGACGGCCCUCCGGGUUGUAAACUGCUUUUAGUUGGGAAUAAAACGGGGCUCGUGAGCCCCCUUGCAUGUACCAUCAGAAAAAGGACCGGCUAAUUCCGUGCCAGCAGCCGCGGUAAUACGGAAGGUUCGGGCGUUAUCCGGAUUUAUUGGGUUUAAAGGGAGCGCAGGCGGACCUUUAAGUCAGCUGUGAAAUACGGCGGCUCAACCGUCGAACUGCAGUUGAUACUGGAGGUCUUGAGUGCACACAGGGAUGCUGGAAUUCAUGGUGUAGCGGUGAAAUGCUCAGAUAUCAUGAAGAACUCCGAUCGCGAAGGCAGGCAUCCGGGGUGCAACUGACGCUGAGGCUCGAAAGUGCGGGUAUCAAACAGGAUUAGAUACCCUGGUAGUCCGCACAGUAAACGAUGAAUACUCGCGGUUUGCGAUACAGUGUAAGCCGCCAAGCGAAAGCGUUAAGUAUUCCACCUGGGGAGUACG
rnacentral:rRNA from 1 species